rnacentral:sRNA from 1 species
AAACUUAAAAUAUUGCAGGCGGAACAUUGCAUCAAGCUUACGAAUUUUCCACCUCUCAACUUGCCCACUCUUGAAAGCCUAAAACUUUCAUUUUGUUCCAGUCUUGAGAAAUUUCCAGAAAUACUAGAAAAGAUGGAAAACAUAAGGAAACUUGUAUUGGAGAAGCUUCCCAUUAAAGAAUUGCCACUGUCGUUUCAAAAUCUUAUUGGACUCGAAGAGUUAUUCUUGUCAUCAUGUAAAAUUGUUCACUUGCCUAACUUGUCUACUUUGAGUGUUACUGAAGAUAACGGAGGCUCAAUGGUUCCUUCAAAGUUAGAGUGUUUUUCAGCACAGUCUUGCAACCUGAAUGAUAACUUCUUUUCGGCAGGUUUCAUGCAGUUGGCACAAGUGCGUAUUUUAAGUCUACGGGACAAUAAUUUCAAACACCUUCCUGAAUGCAUCAAAGAAUUUCACAACCUCAACGAGCUUGAUGUGAGUUAUUGCAAACAUCUUGAGGAAAUAAGAGGGUUUCCACCAAAAUUAGAACAUUUCACUGCAACAAACUGUAUAUCUUUGACUUCCACCAGCUUAGACAUGUUGCUAAAUAAGGAACUAUACGAAUCUAGAAAAUCUUGGUUCUGGUUUCCAGGAGCAAGGUUUCCAGAGUGGUUUGAUCUCAAGAGCAGUGGACCUUCAUGUUCUUUCUGGUUUCGUAAUAAGUUUCCUGCCAGAGUUCUUUCUCUUCUUAUUAUACAUAUGAAUAAAAAUGAUAACUUAAGUAUCUUUUACCCUGCUGUGUACAUUAAUGGGAAAUCUCAAACAGACGCAAGCAUGUAUUUGAUGGAGCAGACGAAAUUUGAAUUCGAUCUAACAUACUUCUCUGAUCUAAAAAUGUAUGGUAAUUUGCAUGAACAACCUUCAGAAAAGGAAUGGAAUCACGUGAAGGUUAAAUAUAAUAUUUCUAUAGGUGCCUCUAUAGUUAAAGCAACAGGAAUCCAUGUAUUCGAGGAAAACAA